rnacentral:rRNA from 1 species
AUACGAACCGUACAAACGUUAUUCGGAAUCACUGGGCUUAAAGGGUGCGUAGGCGGCAUGGCAAGUUGGGUGUGAAAUCCCUCGGCUCAACCGAGGAAUGGCGCCCAAAACUGCCUUGCUUGAGGGAGAUAGAGGUGAGCGGAACUACGGGUGGAGCGGUGAAAUGCGUUGAUAUCCGUAGGAACACCGGUGGCGAAAGCGGCUCACUGGGUCUCUUCUGACGCUGAGGCACGAAAGCUAGGGUAGCGAACGGGAUUAGAAACCCCAGUAGUCC